rnacentral:tRNA from 1 species
UCCCAGGUGGCUCAGUGGUAAAGAAUCUGCCUACAAUGCAGGAGACCUGGGUUCGAUCCCUGGUUUGGGAA